AGAGUUUGAUCCUGGCUCAGGACGAACGCUGGCGGCGUGCCUAACACAUGCAAGUCGAACGGAGAGAUACGAGAGCUUGCUCUUGUAAAUCUUAGUGGCGAACGGGUGAGUAACGCGUAAACAACCUGCCCAACGGAUGGGGACAACAGACGGAAACGACUGCUAAUACCCAAUAGACUCCGGUUUCGCAUGAAACCGACAGGAAAGGUGGCCUCUCGAAGAAGCUACCGCCGCAGGAGGGGUUUGCGUUUGAUUAGUUAGUUGGUGGGGUAACGGCCUACCAAGACGAUGAUCAAUAGCCGGUCUGAGAGGAUGAACGGCCACACUGGAACUGAGACACGGUCCAGACUCCUACGGGAGGCAGCAGUGGGGAAUCUUCCGCAAUGGACGCAAGUCUGACGGAGCAACGCCGCGUGAGUGAAGACGGCCUUCGGGUUGUAAAGCUCUGUUAUUCGGGAAGAACGAUUCGUUUGUAAAUAAUGAACGGAAGUGACGGUACCGAAAGAGAAAGCCACGGCUAACUACGUGCCAGCAGCCGCGGUAAUACGUAGGUGGCAAGCGUUGUCCGGAAUUAUUGGGCGUAAAGAGCGCGUAGGCGGUAUGGUAAGUCUGUCUUAGAAGUGCGGGGCUUAACCCCGUGAGGGGACAGAGACUGUCAUACUGGAGUCUCGGAGAGGAAAGCGGAAUUCCUAGUGUAGCGGUGAAAUGCGUAGAGAUUAGGAAGAACACCGGUGGCGAAGGCGGCUUUCUGGACGAGCACUGACGCUGAGGCGCGAAAGCGUGGGGAGCGAACAGGAUUAGAUACCCUGGUAGUCCACGCC
rnacentral:rRNA from 1 species